AUGCGUGCCAAGUCUGCAGACACAGAGGAAUAAGUUUUCCCUGCAGAUGGAGCUUGUCUAAGCAAGGAGAGAUUUGAGGUGCUGUUUGGUAAUGGAAGAUGGAGAGAGGAAAAGCUGUGCAUAGCCAGCGCAUCCCAUCUGCACCGUUGUUCCCAUGCACAAAGGAGAGGAGCAUCUCAGCAAGCAUGGCCUGGGCCAUGGAAGGGAGCAUACAGACAUCUGGACCAACCCGAAAGGAGUUAGUUCUGCAGGUUGGUUGCUUUCUGCUGUUUGUCCCACAUCCUGUUGCUCAGUGGUAGAUUUGUUCACGGUCAGUGCUAACAGGAAUGUCCCAGAGCAUUGUGGUUUCAGCUGUCGCAACACUUUGAUCCCUUGCUUGCUGGGCUGGGGCGUUUGAGGAAUGAUGCAUGUGCUGAUGUGCAGCCAGGCACUAGGGAUGAGUCUGCUUAGCAAGGAGGGCAGGUGGUGAACCUCAUGAAGCAAUGCCUGCAGACGGGGUUUGCGGAGCAAGAGG